GAUCAUGGCUCAGGACGAACGCUGGCGGCGUGCCUAAUACAUGCAAGUUGAACGCUUGAUUUUCACCGAAGCUUGCUUCGCCGAAAAUCAAGAGUAGCGAACGGGUGAGUAACGCGUGGGUAACCUACCUUUCAGCGGGGGAUAACUAUUGGAAACGAUAGCUAAUACCGCAUAACAAUGUUGGAUGCAUAUUCGACAUUUGAAAGUACCAACUGGUACACUGAGAGAUGGACCCGCGUUGUAUUAG
rnacentral:rRNA from 1 species